AUGAACAGCAGCUGUGUGAGCUGGAGGAGGAGCUUUCUUAAGCUCCUCUUGGUUGUUGAAGUUCAUUCAGUGUCUGUCAAGAUGGGAGCUGAUUCAUUUGUGGCUCUUUUUGUUCUGGCGCUUUGCGUUAGCAAAGGUUGGAGCUUGCAAGUUGAGAAACAGAAUAAAAUAGCAGAGAAUGUACAGCUUCAAAGGAAAUCGGAGUUUACUUUGAGAAGCAACCUUGGACUUGCUCAGUCAAUGGAUUCCAGGUUGGACAGACAUAUUAAAAAAAGUUCAACUGGAAACCAAUGAGGUGGAAGCUGAGGAAUCAUUGGGAAAACUGCAGUUUGUUGAUCAGACUAACGGAAUAGUGUCCGCCGCCGCCGGCAACCAGACUGUGUCCGACGCCGCCGGCAACUGACAAAUAAAUGGGAUUCUACACUUUCA